rnacentral:lncRNA from 1 species
CAUAAUAGAUGUCAGUAUUGAAUAUAAUAGUGUAGCAUCAAAGGCAGAAGUCUACCAGAGUUUACUAUGGUUAGAGCAGUAAUGGCAUUGCUGGAUUAGCAUAAAACCAUCUGAGAUUGUUCACUCUUCGACGCCUGCCUACAAAAGCAAUCGCCCACUCACAAAUGACAAUUAUUCCAAUGAGCAACCCGAUCCUGAAGUGGGAUUCUAUCAGCUCCCAGCACCCACAUCAGAUUGGAAUGACUAGUCUACCACACAUUCCUCAACAUUUCAUGUUGCAAUGAAAAGAGGAGAACUUGUGGUGCAUUUGGUGUGUGUGUGUGUGUGUGUGUAGACUUGUGUUACAGGUAGUGAUGUGCAGGCUGCAGUAUCCCCUGUACUGUAGGUGUGUUUGUCAGACGUUUGAGGUGGAUGACUUGUGUGAGAGGACUAGUGAGUGUCCAUGUGGGCAGUGUUUUACUGUUUCCCUCCCCAUAGGAGCAGUGUUUUACUGUUUCCCUCCCCAUAGGAGCAGUGUUUUACUGUUUCCCUCCCCAUAGGGCAGUGUUUAACUGUUUCCCUCCCCAUAGGAGCAGUGUUUUACUGUUUCCCUCCCCAUAGGGGCAUGUUUUACUGUUUCCCUCCCCAUAGGAGCAGUGUUUUACUGUUUCCCUCCCCAUAGGGCAGUGUUUUACUGUUUCCCUCCCCAUAGGGGCAGUGUUUAACUGUUUCCCUCCCCAUAGGAGCAGUGUUUUACUGUGUUUUACUGUUUUACUGUGUUUUACUGUUUCCCUCCCCAUAGGAGCAGUGUUUUACUGUUUCCCUCCCCAUAGGAGCAGUGUUUUACUGUUUCCCUCCCCAUAGGGCAGUGUUUUACUGUUUCCCUCCCCAUAGGGCAGUGUUUUACUGUUUCCCUCCCCAUAGGGGCAGUGUUUUACUGUUUCCCUCCCCAUAGGGGCAGUGUUUAACUGUUUCCCUCCCCAUAGGAGCAGUGUUUUACU